GGGGUCAUUUAAGUUCUUCCUGGACGAAAACCUUAUGUCAUCUCCUGUUUUGCUUGUGACUUUGUUCCAUGUAUGGUAGCUUGAUGCUCCAAUGGCACGGCAAAAGCUCCGCGUCAUUCUAUGUGCCAGUUUCAGAAUGCUUUUCCUCCCAGCCAGGGUUGUAACACCAGUAGAAUCCUUUGUUGGAACAUUGGUUGCCAUGUAGAAAACAAUCCGUUCACACUGGAGCUGCAACGUUGCUGUCCAAUGCCUUGCACCAAAAGCUAGACCACUAUUCACAAUGGUUCUGUACAUAGAAUGAACUGGGCUUUUCUGGCAUUCCAAGUGCUCUACCCAUGUCACCUUGCAAUGACCAUUUGAUUUGUCCUCAAUUAUGCAGCCAGAGGGGCGUUUUCUGCA
rnacentral:misc_RNA from 1 species